UAGAGAAAACAACACGGCAAAUUAUCAGGGCAGCUUUGCGUGUUUUCUUUAACUGCAGCCUGCAACCAUUAACUUUACGUGUUUAUCAAAACUAACAACCCUUGCUUUUCUCUUCCAUUUGUAGCCCUAUCAAUUGUAAACCAUGAUGCCUCCCUAUAGUCAGCUACUCAAGAUGAUUUUAAUUUGAAAUUUGAAAUUAGUGCAUGCAAACCUUCUUGAACGAUCUAUAAAUUGGGAUGAAUGGAAGCAGUUGUUGUGCGCAUCUGGAUUCAGACUUCGGAGGAUGGCUGGCCGGAUUUCUUGAAGGCAGAGUUGGAGGAAUCUCUCACUCAUAGAGGACUAAAUGAGACCACUUGCUCAUAAUCAAGUGUGAUCUUCAUCCUAGAUAUUUGGGACAACUUGACAUAAAAUUAAUGGCCGAGUUGCCUUUUAACAUGUACAAGUCUUUUCUAAGCAUUGAAGUGGAACUUAUGGAAGUGGUAUGAUAACACAAUGUGAAAUCAGAAGUAUAAUAGAAUUGGUGCAGGAGUCAUGUGUGAUAUAUCAAUUCGAUGUGUUUGUAGAAGCUUUAUAAUGGUGUGGGACUUAACAAACGAUCUUCAGAACAAAUGGCAAUGAUGACAACGUCGCAGUAUAAGGUGCAAAGGAGAUAGAGCAGAAACAGAUUGAUGGGCAACUAGGGAUUCUGCUAUUUGAUUUCCAACAAGCGAAUAUUGUGAUUUGUGAUGGAAGAAUUGAAAGUGGAGUUGGAGAGAAUAGCAGGUUAUGAAACACAAUAUGGUGAUAUCCAAGAAAAAUUUGAUAACAUGAAGAGUUACUUAGAGACUAUAUCAGUGCAGCUUGAUGAUUUCUUUAAUGAAAUAGUAGAAGGAAUGUAGAAGUUUCUGGUCAUGUGCUAUCAUAGGUAGAAAAAAAUUUAGAUAUAGAGAAAAGGAACUAGAAAAAAAAUGUUAAAAAAAGCACUGUCAUCUUGGUUAACGCUUUGGGUCUCAAAUUGUACAGGCUACAAGAGUUAGGCUAGAUACUAUUUUGGUGCAAAGUACUGCAAAAUCUGUGGGAUUCUUGAUUAUAGGCAUGUAUAUAAAUUAUAAUUUUAGGGACAAGUAUAAUUUUUAAUUACAUUUGAAUUAUUAUUGAAUAAGAUCAAAUUUUAACAUA